UACAGAGGUCUCAAGCGUUGUUCGGAUUCAUUGGGCGUAAAGGGUGCGUAGGCGGCGCGGUAAGUCGGGUGUGAAAUCUUGGAGCUUAACUCCGAAACUGCAUUCGAUACUGCCGUGCUUGAGGACUGGAGAGGAGACUGGAAUUCAUGGUGUAGCAGUGAAAUGCGUAGAGAUCAUGAGGAAGACCAGUGGCGAAGGCGGGUCUCUGGACAGUUCCUGACACUGAGGCACGAAGGCCAGGGGAGCAAACGGG
rnacentral:rRNA from 1 species